rnacentral:rRNA from 1 species
GGCUCAGGACUGAACGCUAGCGGCUACGGGCUUAAUACAUGCAAGUCUGGGGCAGCAUGAGUAGCAAUACUUGAUGGCGACGGCAAACGGGUGAGGAACACGUACACAACCUUCCUUCAAGCGGGGAAUAGCCCAGAGAAAUUUGGAUUAAUACCCCAUAAUAUAUUUGAUAAGGCAUCUUAUUAAUAUUAAAGCUUCGGCACUUGAUGAUGGGUGUGCGGCUGAUUAGAUAGUUCGGCGGGGUAACGGCCCACCAAGUCUACGAUCAGUAGCUGAUGUGAGAGCAUGAUCAGCCACACGGGCACUGAGACACGGGCCCGUACUCCUACGGGAGGCAGCAGUAAGGAAUAUUGGACAAUGGACGAAAGUCUGAUCCAGCCAUGCCGCGUGAAGGAUUAAGGUCCUCUGGAUUGUAAACUUCUUUAUAUGGGACGAAAAAAGGGCAUUCUUGUUCACUUGACGGUACCAUAUGAAUAAGCACCGGCUAACUCCGUG